rnacentral:rRNA from 1 species
UACGUAGGGUGCAAGCGUUAAUCGGAAUUACUGGGCGUAAAGCGUGCGCAGGCGGUUAUGUAAGACAGAUGUGAAAUGCCCGGGCUUAACCUGGGAACUGCAUUUGUGACUGCAUGGCUAGAGUUUGGCAGAGGGGGGUAGAAUUCCACGUGUAGCAGUGAAAUGCGUAGAUAUGUGGAGGAACACCGAUGGCGAAGGCAGCCCCCUGGGUCAAGACUGACGCUCAUGCACGAAAGCGUGGGGAGCAAACGAGG